GGAAGAAGGAGUUGAUUUGAUGAACAGAGAAACAGCACAUGAAAGGGAAGUGCAAACAGCAAUGCAGAUAAGCCAGUCAUGGGAGGAAAGCUUGAGCCUGAGUGACAACGAUUUGGACAAAUCUGAAAAAUCUUCAUCUCCAAAGAGGAUAGAUUUUAUUCCUGUUUCUCCAGCACCUUCACCUACAAGGGGAAUU